GCUAGAUCGAGCGCCAUUUUCUCUUUCUGGCGGUCGAUGCGGCGCGGGUAGCGCGCGGGCGGCGGCCGCUGAGGGAGGCGGGCGUGGGGCGAGGCGCGUGCGGAGCCCCGUCCAUGGCGCCGCGCCCCCGGGGCGCGCGCUGAGGGCGGCGGCGGCGCAGGGCCGGGAGGCGGGGCCGCGGGAGCGGUGGCACCGGGCAGCGCCGGCGGCAGCGCCAGGGGCAGAGCCGCAGCAGUGAGCGGCGGGUGGCGGCGGUGCGGGUCCGCGGCGGGCGGCGGCGGCCGCAGGAGGAGGAGGAGCGGGAGCGAGAGCCAGGAGGAGGAGCAGCAGCGGCGGGGGCUCCCCCUGCAGCCCGGCCGGGUUCCUGUGAUACACCUACCCCAAUGGUAUCAGCAUGUCUUCUGGGCUUGGUGAUAAAAAACAUUAGAAAACAAGACUAGCAUCUGUCAAAUGGGGUUCCCUUUCAAUUUCUCUCUACACACCUUUCCUUUCAGGGGAGAAGAAGCGAAGAAUAGUAUGUGAGUUUGUUGAAUUUUAAUCAUUCAAUUAUAUGUUUUGUACAUAAAUUGAGGUUUGGGGUGGUUACAUACAGACUGGAACAUUUUUUAUAUGGUUUUGGGGACUUUUUGAGGCUUAGCUUGUAGCUGGUGUCUUUUAUGCAGGGGGAUUUUGCAACUAUUUGCAUGAAGGUCUUCUUCAAAGUAGAGCUUUCAUGUUGGCAGAGAGCUUGCUUUUUUGGUAAAAGUACAGCUUUUCAAGACAUUUGAGACUGUAUGUGCUGAACGACUGUUUGGAGAUUUCCUCUAUUUCUAAUUUUUUUUCUUUUUCCUGUUCAGGCGUGUCCUAGAUGGAUGAAUUGUUUAGCAGUAAGAACUAGGAUGCAAAUGCUCCUGGAUCCUCUGUCAGCUAUUUAAGCACCAACUACUGGAGAAGCUUCCAGUGACCUUUUUCAGUGCAAGCUUAGGGUUAGGUUUUGCAUUCUGUGUCCAUUGUAGUUUCUUAAAGUUCAGUCUAAAUUGCAUCUUGCUGUAAUCUAAGAAGGAGUUGACAAAGGUUGAGCUUUUUUUUUUAUUUCUACAGCUGAGCCUGUGGAGAUACCUUACAAGUUUACAAAAGUAGAAGCUUUUGCAAGAAAUCUAGAUUUACUAGCAUUCAUAUUUUAAGCAUGUACAUGGUUGACAGCAAACAAAAAUAUCAAAAAGAUUUCUCAUCUUGAUGCUAACAUUUAAGGUGAAAGGUGUGGAAUUUCUCCUUAAGUGAUAUGAUCGUAAUUUUCUGAAUAGAACUUAAUAAAAUUCUGGUGUUCAUGUUCUUUUACGAAAAC
rnacentral:lncRNA from 1 species